rnacentral:rRNA from 1 species
UACAGAGGUCUCAAGCGUUGUUCGGAUUCAUUGGGCGUAAAGGGUGCGUAGGUGGCGUGGUAAGUCGGGUGUGAAAUUUCGGAGCUUAACUCCGAAACUGCAUUCGAUACUGCUGUGCUUGAGGACUGGAGAGGAGACUGGAAUUUACGGUGUAGCAGUGAAAUGCGUAGAGAUCGUAAGGAAGACCAGUGGCGAAGGCGGGUCUCUGGACAGUUCCUGACACUGAGGAACGAAGGCCAGGGGAGCAAACGGG